CUCCCCCAAUCCCCGCUUCCUCUCAGGAUCGACCCCGAGCCUCCACCGCGCCUCCUCCUCCGCCACCCCGAGCAGCUGCCGUCCCGCCUCUCCUCCUCGACCUACGCAUCUCCGGCGUGUUGCUCCGCCGCCGUGGCGCCUCCUGUGCGAUUCCGAGCAGCCGCCGUCGCGCCUCUCACGCUCAAUCUACCCUGCGCCGGAGUUGGAGGAGCAGCAAGGGGCGGCGCUGGGACGGAGGUGGAGGAGCACGGAUUCGGCGCCAGCAGACUCCUCUACGAAUAAGGUCCUCCUCUUCCUUCUUUCUAUCCUCCACGGAUCGGGGCACACAUGAGAUGGCGCGGUCUGCGUGACUCCAUGAGAUCCAUGGAUGGCGGUUCUUCGGCCGGCGCGGGGAUGCGCGAUGGCUGCCGGUGCUCGAGAUCUGGCGGAUGGAGGGCUGCAGCGGCAGCGGGAUCGAGCUCUGGUCUCCAGCUUGCCCAUCCCCCACGUUUCCCUCUCCUCUUCCUCCCUGCUGUUGGCCACGCUGGCCAUGGCCCUCAAAUCCGACGCCUGCAUCUGCGAUGCUAGCAGCAGAUCUGGUUGGGAAAGCGUAAGGAGAUAAACAGCGAGAGAUUGUCUUAGCACAUGGAUUCAUGAGUGCUGCAAAUUUAUAUAUAGUGCUUUGUACUGAUGUUUAAAGUUUAUUUAUACAAGUAUUGGAAAGAGGAAUACAAUAUUGCAUUUCUAAAGAAAUCAUCAUGUAGAUAUGUUUUUGUACUUUACUCAGCGAAAAUUGCAGCCAGUUAUUUUGAUAAUAUAUCUCAGUUUGUGUGUCCUUACUAUUCCUUAUUUAUGAAUUUGAGAAGAUUAAUUUCCACCUAUUGGUGCUGAAGGUCAAGCUGCUCACUUUCUUCUUGGAUGUGGACCAGUCUCCUCUGGUAUAGCAGAUCUCACAAAGGAUCUUCAUCAUCAGGACAACUCCAUGUUCCAGUCAGAAGGUUCACUGUCGCGACCUUGCAUAUUUGUUCUCGGUUUUGCGGUGUGCUGAGAAUAGGAAGGCUGAGUUCAUCAAUUCUACUAUGGAUUCUGCUCUAUAUGCGUGUUUCUUUCUAAUAAUUCAUCACUUGUGCAGGAUUCUAAUGGUUGUGCUGGGUGUUUGUAACGGUGAGGUUGAGCAUAUCGAUUUGUAUAAUGCACAGACCGCGAAUAAUGGUGUUGUGGUGACUGAUACACUCACACAGUUUCCUGAAGGUAAAGUUGCUUUCAGUUGCUUAUUCAUCCUUGUCGGAUCUUGUUUAUAGCAUAUAUACUUGCUUUCAGUUGCUUAUGAUCUACUCAAGCUAGCAAAUUCCUUUUGUUGUACAGUUGGCCACUUUUGGCAUAUGUGAUAAUAUGCAUAUUUGUCAGUGUUCAUGGUACUACCUCCCUAUCACUCACACACCUAGAUAUUUUCUUGCCAGCUAUAACCUAAAUUAAGGUUUGACACUUUCUUUUAACUGCAGGUCUUAAUAUAUAUUUUAGACUACCAUUUAACCCUUAUUGUAAAUUUUACCCACAUUUUUUAACCAACGCUUCUAAACCCAUUUAAUGGUUCUCGUUUUAUGUGUUGGCCUAAUUACCCGACUUCAAAAUGUUCAGAGGUUGUCCUACUUCAGGGUAGUGAGCUGCAGCAUGUUGACGCUCAGAUGGCGCUGGAGGUUAUUCAGGCACCAUCCACAAAUUAAGUAAGCUAUAGCUCUCUUCACCGUAAUUUUGUCAAGGGGUCCACAAUGAAAUGGACAAUUACGCCAAGAUAGGCACAUAAGAAGGUGGGGUUUGGGAUCCUCAAGAUCGGCGAUGGCGAUCGCGACGGUGCAUCGACGAGCUUGAUGAGAUGGCGCAUUGACAAGCAAAAAGUCAUGGGGAUUCCCGCUGUUCGUGAGGGGUUGCGUGAUGCGGCUAUGGGGCGGCGGAGGUCCACACAUCAGACGUAUCCAGGCUGUGCGCACAGAUGAUGUUGAGGCUCCGUGACCUCCACAACCCGAGCAAGCUUGACUAUUUACUCUGGAAGGAGCAGUUCGUGGAGUGGGUCUGAAGCAACUGGGUAGCAGUCAUAAUAUUAGGCUGCUACAGAGGGGGUGGACUUUGAUGUCAGUAUGCUACAAAGGAUGUUGAAGAAAUUGGUUAUGAGAAGCGAUUAUCUUUGUGCCUCCAUGACGAGCAGCACCGGCUGCAUCUGGCGCAUCUUUGGAAAUUUAUAAUGAUAACAGGAAUUGGUCAAACUACAGAAAUUGUGACCCUGAUGAGCCGCCCCGGGCCUGACCACCGUUGGUUCAGCGUUCUCUGCCCGCGGAGUUUCCUGUCGUGCAUGCGUACGGUUGAGGUCUAGGAUGUUCGUCCACAUCUUCUACGCUAAUCUUUACCUGCGUAUUCUGGAUGGCAUGUGCGUGCAUCGCUGCUGCUUGGGGAAAUUUCUUCUUUCCUCUUCGGCCCUGCGAGUGGAGGAUUCGUCGUUUCACGAAACUUCAGAUCUGAUAUUAGUUACCUGAUCAUCAAUAGUCGAUUUUAGCAUCAGGAUACAUCUUCGCGGGAUCAAAUAUAUGAUGGUAUGUUAAUAUUAAACUAGAAUAUAUAUGUGGAGUAUUUUCAUCUGGAAUCCAUGUCUUCACUCAUUUUUGCAGCAUGGAAUAACUAAUUUUCUGAAUAUGAGAAUUGGCUUAUUUGAUCUAUAUAGGAGUAUGAUUUACAACUCCGUAGUGUUCAACCUGGUCGAAGAAUUAAAAUGAAGCUCGUCUGAUGUAAAAUUCAAAAUAAAUACAUUCUUGUAAAUUGCUUGGAGAAAUGUAACAAUUUACUCUAAGUCAGUUCGGAAGUCACUUUUUCGUAUAUACGAGUAUUGUCUUAAGGGUUUAUAAAGCACUGUAGAUUUUGGAUUUCAGAAUCUGGCCUGUCUAGCGAUCAUGCCAUUCAGUUUCUGUGAGCAUGUAAAAGAGCAACCCUAUUUUUUAAAAAGCUUUCUUUCCUUUCAGUAU